rnacentral:rRNA from 1 species
CAGCAGCCGCGGUAAUACGUAGGUGGCAAGCGUUAUCCGGAAUUAUUGGGCGUAAAGAGUGAGCAGGCGGCCGUUUAAGUCUGAAGUCAAAUGCAGUGGCUUAACCACUGUCCGCUUUGGAAACUGGAUGGCUAGAGUACGAGAGAAGUAAGCGGAAUUCCAUGUGUAGCGGUGAAAUGCGUAGAUAUAUGGAGGAACACCAGAGGCGAAGGCGGCUUACUAGAUCGAUACUGACGCUCAGUCACGAAAGCGUGGGUAGCAAAUAGGAUUAGAUACCCUAGUAGUCCACGCCGUAAACGAUGAGAACUAGGUGUAGGGCCAAACCCUGUGCCGAAGCUAACGCAUUAAGUUCUCCGCCUGGGGAGUACGUUCGCAAGAAUGAAACUUAAAGGAAUUGACGGGGGCCCGCACAAGCAGUGGAGCAUGUGGUUUAAUUCGAUGCUACGCGAAGAACCUUACCAGGGCUUGACAUAGUGUCUAAGACUCUAGAGAUAGAGGGAUAAUAGGUACAUACAGGAGGUGCAUGGCC